rnacentral:tmRNA from 1 species
GGGGGCGUUCUGGCUUCGACGCGGAUUGGACGUACCCUGGGGCAUGCCGAGGUCUCAACUCACCUCGUAAAACAAGUUGAACCAAAGUUAGUUGCCAACGACGACAACUACGCACUGGCUGCCUAAAAACCAGCCUGCUCUCCGCCGGUUGAGCCUGCGCUUCCGACCGGAGAUCAUUUAGCAGGAUCGCGUCAUGUCGCGUCUCUGGGCAUGGCGUUAAAUCAAACAGGGACUGGUCGUUGCGUAUGCCCUGCCCCUCGGGCGGCGUAACGGCGAGAAAAAAUCGAGCGGGCUAAGCAUGUAGAACCAGGAUCAGAUGGUUCGCGGACGCGGGUUCGACUCCCGCCGCCUCCACCA